rnacentral:rRNA from 1 species
UACGUAGAUGGCAAGCGUUGUCCGGAUUUAUUGGGUUUAAAGGGUGCGUAGGUGGUUUUUUAAGUCAGUGCUGAAAUAUCCCGGCUUAACCGGGAGGGUGGCAUUGAUACUGAAAGACUUGAGUAAAGUUGAGGUGGGCGGAAUUGACGGUGUAGCGGUGAAAUGCUUAGAUAUCGUCAAGAACACCUAUGGCGAAGGCAGCUCACUAAGCUUUAACUGACACUGAGGCACGAAAGUGUGGGGAUCAAACAGG